rnacentral:misc_RNA from 1 species
AACGCACAUUGCGCCCCUUGGUAUUCCGAGGGGCAUGCCUGUUCGAGCGUCAUUACAACCCUCAAGCAAUGCUUGGUAUUGGGCUCUGCUGCUUAUCCAGCGGGCCUUAAAAUCAGUGGCGGUGCCGUCGGGCCCUGAGCGCAGUAAAUAUCCUCGCUACAGGGACUCGGUGGACGCUGGCCAUCAACCCCCCACUCUAAGUUUGACCUCGGAUCAGGUAGGGAUACCCGCUGAACUUAA